UACUGGCAAAUUAUCAUCCUC
ensembl:piRNA 21ur-4705 ncRNA